ACAGCCAUACCAUGCUGAAUAUACCGGUUCUCGUUAGAUCACCGAAGUCAAGCAUCAUUGGGCGCGGUCAGUACUUGGGUGGGUGACCACCUGGAAACACCGCGUGCCGUU
rnacentral:rRNA from 1 species